rnacentral:rRNA from 1 species
AUUGAACGCUGGCGGUAGGCUUAACACAUGCAAGUCGUGCGAGAAAGUAUCUUCGGAUAUGAGUAGAGCGGCGGACGGGUGAGUAACGCGUAGGAAUCUACCUAGUAGAAGGGGAUAGCCCGGGGAAACUCGGAUUAAUACCGUAUACCUCCUUCGGGAGAAAGAAGGCCUCUCUUUGAAGCUUUCGCUAUUAGAUGAGCCUGCGUAAGAUUAGCUUGUUGGUGAGGUAAAGGCUCACCAAGGCUACGAUCUUUAGCUGGUCUGAGAGGACGAUCAGCCACAUUGGGACUGAGACACGGCCCAGACUCCUACGGGAGGCAGCAGUGGGGAAUAUUGGACAAUGGGCGCAAGCCUGAUCCAGCCAUACCGCGUGUGUGAAGAAGGCCUUCGGGUUGUAAAGCACUUUAAGCAGGGAGAAAAAGUUAUAGGUUAAUACCCUAUGACCUUGAUGUUACCUGCAGAAUAAGCACCGGCUAAUUCCGUGCCAGCAGCCGCGGUAAUACGGAAGGUGCAAGCGUUAAUCGGAAUUACUGGGCGUAAAGCGCGCGUAGGUGGUUUGUUAAGUUGGAUGUGAAAGCCCUGGGCUCAACCUAGGAACUGCAUCCAAAACUAACUCACUAGAGUACGAUAGAGGGAGGUAGAAUUCAUAGUGUAGCGGUGGAAUGCGUAGAUAUUAUGAAGAAUACCAGUGGCGAAGGCAGCCUCCUGGAUCUGUACUGACACUAAGGUGCGAAAGCGUGGGUAGCGAACAGGAUUAGAUACCCUGGUAGUCCACGCCGUAAA